GAAUUCUAGAAGCCAAACUUACCCUAAAGUUCCCUGUCACCCUAUGGGAAAGCAUUUGGGAUAAAACAGGCUUUUGAGUCCUCUCAGAUCCCAGCAUGAGGACUCAGGAGAGAACUGCAUCACCAUCCCACUACUAUAGCUAAAUCUGCACUUGUAUCCUCAGACUUCCCACCAGUGAUGAUGGAUGGUCCCCGCUCCUAAGACCACCCCUGCACUCAGUGCAAGCUGCAUAUCAUCAGGAUCUUACUUUAGCUGUUCUAUCUUCAGUGUCUAGCUGAUCUCCUGAUUCACCUUGAAAUAUACACAGGUAAUGAACUUUAGAGUGGUGUGGGCAGUCAAGUCACAUGGCCUCUUGUGUCCUCCUGAGCUUCAAGCCUAGUGACUGCCUUCACACAAUGUACUAGGA
rnacentral:lncRNA from 13 species